UUUUUAUUGAACGUUGAUCAUUACGUGUUGUGCGUUUAUUGGAUGUUAAUUUUGUGUACCUAAUUAACAUCAACCUCCAAUAAAAUCGUGACACGUGACAGUCAACGUCC
rfam:Glycine soja cultivar W05 scaffold2870_20, whole genome shotgun sequence.